UACGAAGGGGGCUAGCGUUGCUCGGAAUCACUGGGCGUAAAGCGCACGUAGGCGGAUUGCUAAGUCAGGGGUGAAAUCCUGGAGCUCAACUCCAGAACUGCCUUUGAUACUGGCGAUCUCGAGUCCGGGAGAGGUGAGUGGAACUGCGAGUGUAGAGGUGAAAUUCGUAGAUAUUCGCAAGAACACCAGUGGCGAAGGCGGCUCACUGGCCCGGUACUGACGCUGAGGCGCGACAGCGUGGGGAGCAAACAGG
rnacentral:rRNA from 1 species